GUGAACGCUGGCGGUAGGCCUAACACAUGCAAGUCGAACGGCAGCACAGAGGAGCUUGCUCCUUGGGUGGCGAGUGGCGGACGGGUGAGGAAUACAUCGGAAUCUACUCUGUCGUGGGGGAUAACGUAGGGAAACUUACGCUAAUACCGCAUACGACCUACGGGUGAAAGCAGGGGAUCUUCGGACCUUGCGCGAUUGAAUGAGCCGAUGUCGGAUUAGCUAGUUGGCGGGGUAAAGG
rnacentral:rRNA from 1 species